UGUAGGUUUCGAAUUACUACCGAGCAAAAAAAAAAAGAAAAAAAAAACUUCUUGAUAAAACUUCUUGGGUGGGACUCUGGAUAGGGAUGCAUUGACAUCUUGUAUAAAAAUGUGAAGUCUAUGUAUCAGAUGUUUCUUUAUUUAAAGAACAAAGUUAUAACAGAUGUUGGUUUUCUUGAGCGGUACAAGUGUAAGGCUCAGUUAUUAAAAAUUAGAUCUAUAGAAUGUGAGGACGAUCUUCAACUCAAAACCCAGUACGGAGUGCUUUGGUAAAUUUUUGAUGGAAAAUCAAUUAUUUGUGGUGUCAGAUAACUUGGUAGUGACGCCUUCAUCUUCUGCAUCUUGUAUUUCUUUCCUUAAAGAACUGAUCGUACCUGUUGAUGAUAUUGAAGUGAGAUUGGAAACUAUCGGCCAACAUGAGUGUACAGGCACUAGCCUUACAUAAGGCUUCUUUAACAUCGUCAUCUGCUUUAUCGAAGGGCUUGAAAUCCCUCUUGGACAACUAGAAACCACAAAUUUGUUGAAAUUUAGACGUUUGUCCAGAUAUGUUGAUGCUUACAUUUGUCUUUAACUGAUAUAAAAAUUACUACUCUUUGUAAUGCUUGGCCUAUCAAUGCCAUAUUACUUUAUCCAAUGUACGAAGUUCCUUUUUCUCCCAUAUUUACUUCUCAAGUCAGAAUUAUAGCGACUUGAUCUUCUUCAUCUCGUUGCAGUAACGAGGCUCAUGAAAAUCUUAUUGGGGACCAUGCCGGGUCUAUUGUUUUGAGUUUUCAA